rnacentral:rRNA from 1 species
ACGCUGGCGGCGUGCUUAACACAUGCAAGUCGAACGAUGAACCCCAGCUUGCUGGGGGGAUUAGUGGCGAACGGGUGAGUAACACGUGAGUAACCUGCCCUUAACUCUGGGAUAAGCCUGGGAAACUGGGUCUAAUACUGGAUAUUGACUUUACCUCGCAUGGGGUUUGGUUGAAAGAUUUAUUGGUUUUGGAUGGACUCGCGGCCUAUCAGCUUGUUGGUGAGGUAAUGGCUCACCAAGGCGACGACGGGUAGCCGGCCUGAGAGGGUGACCGGCCACACUGGGACUGAGACACGGCCCAGACUCCUACGGGAGGCAGCAGUGGGGAAUAUUGCACAAUGGGCGAAAGCCUGAUGCAGCGACGCCGCGUGAGGGAUGACGGCCUUCGGGUUGUAAACCUCCUUCAGUAGGGAACAAGGCCAAUGUUUAGUUGGUUGAGGGUACUUGCAGAAGAAGCACCGGCUAACUACGUGCCAGCAGCCGCGGUAAUACGUAGGGUGCAAGCGUUAUCCGGAAUUAUUGGGCGUAAAGAGCUCGUAGGCGGUUUGUCGCGUCUGCCGUGAAAGUCCGGGGCUCAACCCCGGAUCUGCGGUGGGUACGGGCAGACUAGAGUGAUGUAGGGGAGACUGGAAUUCCUGGUGUAGCGGUGAAAUGCGCAGAUAUCAGGAGGAACACCGAUGGCGAAGGCAGGUCUCUGGGCAUUAACUGACGCUGAGGAGCGAAAGCAUGGGGAGCAAAC